UUAAACAUAUGGUGGCUUUAUACAGAUUUAACUGUCAUCACAAGUUAAAUGCGCCACGAAAAGAGCACACUGCCAUAGGGCGAGACCACACAGUACGGCCGGAACAGCGCCUGUGAUCUCCGUAAACUCCACAACCAACAAGUACUCUGCUCAAAAUAUCUAGGGGUCGAUCAGAAAAGUUUUCCAAGCUCAUCAUGUAAAACGUAUCCGCUGCUCUACUCUCUUUUUGACCAUACAGGUUACAAACUCUCCUGUAGCACCUCAAACAUCCCAGUUGCCUGCUCCCCCCUUCUAGAUCAGUUUCAACCACACAGUCUGAAGCGGGGGACACGUCAAUUUCAACAGCGUUCUCUGGACUGGCAGCAUCAACCCCUCCCAGCUUCACUUUGCCUGCGACCCCUGCAAAUCAAGAAUCGCGACCUCCCUUUCCACAGGGGGCCUGGCUCAUCCCGGACAUACCAGCUAACGAGGAUCUGAUUCAUCCAUGUUCCCUGGCAGUCUCACUAAGCACCCAAUGGGAAGUCGAUGAUUACGAUGAACUGUUCCAAUUUUCCCUGGAACCACACAGGUUUAAUUUGGUACACUAGCAGGUUUCCCCUUUUUCCCCACCACAGUAUAAGGUAAGAAUCUCCACUUAUUCUGCAACUAGUGCUUACCCAUGACACCAAAACUCCUCUAUAGUACACGGUCUCCUUUCUUCAGAAUCUGUUCGACUAAUUUCUCAUGUGCUCUCUUGUUCCAUCCAUGACUCUUCUCAGCACCUUCUUUAGCUAACUAAAGAAGCCCUGCUUAGGUGUCCUCUCAAUUUUGUGAGGAACCGUUGAUACUGCACUUCCUUACCCCAAAACACAGAUCUAUAGGCAGACGAGCUUCCCUGCCAGACAUCAGCAAAACAAGGGGAGUAGCCAGUCGCCUUAUUUCUCAUGCAGUUAUAGGCAUGUACGAGUUGACUGAUCUUCUGACCGUUUCUGCUUCUGCCCAGGAUCCAAUGCUCCCAACAUGGACAGCAGAGUCCUGUUGAAUUUCUCUGGUUGGAAUUCCCCCUGGGGGUGGGCAGGGUGUCGUGGGAGACUUUCUGAUCCCCGACAUUCUUAGGAGAUUGUGGGUCAGCUUUGACUCACAGUCAUGUCGCUGAUCAGAGUGAAUGUGAGCAGGGAGUCCAUAGUGUACAAAGUUCUUCUCAAACAGUACUAUGAGGACGGCAGAGGCCUUCUGAUCCUUUGUCGGAAAAGCCCGAGCGUAGCGAGCGAAAUGGUCAGUCACAACAAGCAUGUUCUCAAAUCCCUGUGAAUCUUGCUCGAGUGACAGGAAGUCAGUGCAUACCAAAUCAAGUGGACCUUUACUCGUAAUUUUGUUCGACGGAGCAGCUCUCUGAGGACAAGUCUUGCGAGCAAUGCAUCUGCCACAAUUCCUGACAUACUCCUCAAUAACUGCACCUAUCUUCGGCCGAUAAAAACGGUCCUCGAUGAGCUCUGAUGACUUCUCCGAUCCUAAAUGGCCACAAUCAUCAUGAAGUGACUGGUGUACCAUUCGAACAUAUAUUCUGGGCAAAAUAAGCCGCUGUACCUGAGUGCUACCUGGCCUCUGCACUACUCUACAAAGCACUGACUGGCUCACUUUAACAUUCUCUCUUCUUGAUAACGCGGUUGUGGUAAUGCACAAACUAUUUUCUAUGAGAUGUAUGUCGCUUUGGAGAAAAACAUCUGCUAAAUGAAUAAAUGUAACGCCAAGAACACCACAGACCCUGGUGAAGAGCAGCUAAAUUUUCACUGAGAAGUCUUUCGUCUUCAUUAUAUCACUUAUGAAAAGCUGACAUAUCAGCAGGGACAAAGCUACAUAGAAGAGGUCUGUCUGUCAUUUAUGACCAAAACCUUAUUCCUUAAGGAAGACCAGGUACAUGAAGACAAAGUAUCAACCAUCAUGAAAUGUGACGUGUUUCCUUUUAUGAGCAGAUCUGCACAGCAUUUUCUUCCUUGGCUUAAUUAACAAACCAAGGAUAGACCCUAAAGAUGUUCUGAAUAAAGAACUUGCCUUAAAGACAGAAGUUUCCAGAUGCAGUUCAGACAUACAGAACUAGACUACACUCAAGACCACCAUACUCAAUCCUGCUAGAUGUAGUAAAAGAAUGCUCAUCUUCAACAUGUUGAACUAUUUUAAAAACAAAUACAAAACAUGCAAAACAAAAAUGAUGAAAUGUAAAUCACAUAUACGUAUGUAUUAUAUACUGUUUUUAGUAUGUUCUGGUCAUUUCCGCAGUGUGUGGAAAUGAUUUCACUUUAGCAUCAACUGUUGUGAGCUACUGCUACUUCUCAGACUCACAGCAAACAACCAUGAACUAUUUUCGUGUGUCUCUACUCUAGCCUGCCAGGGGAGCGUUCAACAACAGAACUUUAUCGAUCAGGUUUGUAUUAUGACGUGGAAUCGGAACGUGGCGUUCGCUGUGUGUUUGGCCAACAGCAAAAAUAAGUCAAUGCAACUUCCAAAGCCUGUAUUCUGAAGCAUUUCAUAUGCUCAAUAACCUACCACAGGGAUUGUUCCAAUAGACCCACUCAGCAAUACUACUCAAAACCUCCUUGUUUCAAAAUGCUUAAAAAUAUUUGCGUUAUGCAUGUGUUAAAACGCUCUGUGUCACUGUGUGAGAAGAGUGCUCUAUAAAAAUAAAUUGAACUGAAUUUCCAAAUGUAGUAUCCUCACCUCCACCCCAAAAUACUGUAGACCCUUGAACAACAUGGGUUUGAACGGCACUGAAAUAAGGGAAAGCUUAACUGAGAACACUAAAAUGAUACAUUUACAAUGAACUUAAUACGUUUUUUUAUGAGAGCGAAUAACCGUGAGAAUUACGUCACUAUUCCAUCCACAGUUGCUAUGGCAUUUCCGGGGUGUGCAGAGGAUGCCUCACUAAAUGCAUGUUUUCAUGGGGUAUUCCUUAAUUAUUUCCGGAUCCUGUCUGGCAGUGACGUAGUGGACAAUGACCACUACCCCCUCAGUCAUUCAACCUUCUUGUUGAAUGCUUACGGCACCUUUGAAAAACUUGCUCCAAUUCAGCCAACGACACUCCUCAGACAACCCCGUAUAACUUCUUGAAAGGUAUACUUUAAGCUUUAUUUAUGUGUUGAAAACAUGUUUGUAAAGUUUCAUGAAAAUCUACAAGACAAGGUUGUUUAAGGCCCCGAAAAUUCUAGGCGUAAAAGCGUCCUUCCAUCAUGGCAGCGACAAAAGGCAAGAUUAACAGUCUUUUAUAACCCCGUUCCUCUGGUUCAGAAGCAACCUUCUGAAUCUCACAUAUAUGAAACUUCCUCAACACGUAGAUAACACAUGUAGAAAAAAAUACAGACUUGCUAUGAAACCUACCUGACUUGCUGUUGCUCAGAUUUGUAUGUCAUCAUUGUUUUAUUGUAACCAUGGUCUCUCUGGUUUCCAUGGCGCUGAAACGCACAUGGCGGAUCGUUCUUCCUUGAUGUAAGCAUAGUAACCACGAAACAAUGAGGACGCUCCAAUUCUGAUAAACAGCAAUUUAUUUUGGUUUAACAACUGUCCUCAAUGUAUCUCAAUUAUUUUGCGUAUGGUCAACCUGAAAGUACAAUCUGAUCUGACAAUUCUCCAGGAAUUCACCUAACUGACUAACAUUUUAACUACAGAUUAGAGCUGAAACAGAUUUGAAAACUGAACAACAUGUUGUAUGGGAAUGCCCUCCACGUUGAAUUAAAGAAAGAAAGGGGGAAAAAGAAAAAAAAAAAAAAAAAA